GUGUGUGUGUGUGUGCGUUUGUCAAAGUGACAUAUGGGGACAUUUUUAUGAAAUUUCACCUUACAUAUGAGGACCUGUUGAAAUAUGGGGACAUUUUCCAUGUCCCCAUAUUUCCCGCAAUGCUAUCGUGUUCUAGACCCUCCCAGCAUGUUCCCAGACCAAAAAUCUCUAAAGUCUUCAUUUGUCAAAUUUUCAGAAAAAGUGUGUGAAAGUGUGUGUAAUUUUUUUGGUCACCUUCGAUUUUGCCCCUAGUGGCCAUCUUUGCUAUUAGGACACACACACACACACACUUGUCCUCAUAUGUCAUAUGUCCUCAUAUGUCAUGUGGGUCAGAAACUUACACACUCCAACAUUUUGAAAAACAUCUAAUCAUUACAGCAAUAAACAUACUUUUGAAUUCUAAAUCAAAUAACACAUUUUCAACUGAUCUGAUGAUCUUAACCUUUUUUAUGUUAGUUUUAUCUAUUCAUUUGGUUUAUCUGGAGAGGAUUUGUGCUGGACAAUCAAUAAUAAAGGGAUUAUGGUGAUGAUUUAAUCGGUUUGAUUCAGUAUUUUACUGUAUUGGGCUUUUUUCUAUUCUGUUGUCUAAAAUACAAUGCCGCACAAUAAUUACUUUAAAUGUGCCUGAAAAAAAACCUUCAACCUUGAUUGAGACAAAGGCGAUAAUUCAAAUGCAAUUCAAACUACAUCCACUAUUUAAUAUUUUCAAAUGGUUACAAUAGCACAUGAUUUUGGUAUUUUUAUCUUUGGGACAAAUUUUGGAUUCAAUUGGGGAUUGUUUUUGGAGGUAUUCACUUCACAUUGUGUUCAAGAUGCUUACUUCCGCCCACUCUGAAGAGUCUCGGCGUCUGAUUGGUCCAAUUUUCAGUUAGGCGCUGCCUGAUUGGCCAGUGGAUGAUGUCUGCUCCUAACAGAGGGCUAAAUCACUAGUUAACUAUUUUCAUCUUGGAAGUUAUACAGCUCACGUAUCACACUUAAUAUUGAAUAUAUAUAAAAAGGGUUUUCCAAAAGGACCAUUUAUAAUCGAAAUACAAAACUUCACACACGAUUUUGAGCACAACAGAGCGCUCAGUGAACAGUACUUCCGGGACGUGCAGCACCAGAGGGAGACAUCUAUCUUGGCCACAAACCAUCUUUGACAGUCUUCGGCAGCAUGGUUGAAUCAGGCGCAUCAACACAUGAUAUAGACAUCGUGCCCAAAAGAAGAGCGAGAUGUAAUCCUGAGGCUGAAGCCACCGAGUUUAUGUGAUCUGGAUGUGACAAGUCUUGUUUUAAGGCCCAGUGGAUCAAUGAUUGGAAAGACACCAACUGUUGAUGUUCUAUCUCAACAUUCUCCAGAUUCAUGUGAGCGAUAAACCGACUUCAUCCCUCCAACAGACACCAACUGUUGGGGUUCUAUCUCAACAUUCUCCAGAUUCAGAUGUGAGCGAUAAACCGACUUCAUCCCUCCAACAGAAACCAACUGUUGAGGUUCCAUCUCAACAUUCUCCAGAUUCAGAUGUGAGCCAUUAACUGACUUCAUCCCUCCAACAGAAACCAACUGUUGAGGUUCUUUCUCAACAUUCUCUAGAUUCAAAUGACAGCCAUAAACCGACUUCAUCCCUCCAACAGAUUGACAGCAGGACAAAUCGCUGGAAGUGGGUAUGUCUCAAGCUUCUUCCACUUGGUCCACUCCAAAGCGGGCUGCAAAGGGGAAGAAGUGGAAGCAGUUGAAUGACACAUGUUGCAUUUUGUAACUGGCAACAAAGUACCAGGUAAAAAAGAUUGUGAAGCCUCCCUCCAUAAAGAACUAGUAACUCUACAGGACAGAGAUUGGCUUGACAUCAAGUACUACAUCCAUAACAGAAUUAUAUUUAAAAAAGGAAAAAAAAAUGUUUUCCCACAUCUUCUGUGGUAGUUUGAGUAUGUUACCAGCAAUUAAAAAAGCAAAAUAAACAGCAAGCGUUUUGUAUUUAUUCCAGAUAAUUCUUAGCGACAAAAUCCACAAAAACAAUUCAGUUACACUUAAUCGACAAUUACAUUUUUACCCAUGUUUCUUUUAAACUAUUCUUGGUUUUAGAUUACAGUAGCAUGGGAUUGGGAUUUUUUUUUUAAAUGACAACACAUCAACUAAACCAACUCAGGUGGUUUUGUUAAGUCUCUGAUGUCAUUAGCCUCAUAUGUCACAUGAACCUGAAAUCUUUAACACUCUGUGAUGUCAUGGUUGUCAUAUUUCACAAACUUGAAAUCUUAAACACUCUGUGACGUCAUGGUCAUCAUAUGUCACAUAAACUUGAAAUCUUAAACACUCUGUGACGUCAUGGUCAUCAUAUGUCACAUGAACCUGAAAUCUUUAACACUCUGUGAUGUCAUGGUUGUCAUAUUUCACAAACUUGAAAUCUUAAACACUCUGUGACGUCAUGGUCAUCAUAUGUCACAUAAACCUGAAAUCUUAAACACUCGGUGACGUCAUGGUCAUCAUAUGUCACAUAAACUUGAAAUCUUAAACACUCUGUGACGUCAUGGUCGUCAUAUGUCACAUAAACUUGAAAUCUUAAACACUCUGGUCUUCAUUUGUCACCUAAACCUGACAAGUCCUCAUAUGUACCAUAAAAAUCAGGUUCAGAAAAAAACAAAAGAGUUGCAAAAAUCUCAAUAGACCACUGUGUGUCUAAAAUUCUGGUUCACUAACCGUCUGAUUCCCAGGCCUGCAGGACCAUUGGAAAGGCAUGUCCCCAUAUGUCACGUUUUUGUCAUAAGUCCUCAUAUGUCACCCAAACACGUAUGUGUGUGUGUGUGUGUGUGUGUGUGUGUGUGUGUGUGUGUGCGUACG